rnacentral:rRNA from 1 species
AGCGGUUGGCCGGCGGUGCUACACAUGCAAGUCGAACGAGAAAGUGGAGCAAUCCAUGAGUAAAGUGGCGACCGGGUGAGUAACACGUGACUAACCUACCCUGAAGUGGGGAAUAACCUCGGGAAACCGGGGCUAAUACCGCAUAACAUCGCGAGCUGUAAACGCUUGUGAUCAAAGGAGCAAUUCGCUUUAGGAGGGGGUCGCGGCUGAUUAGCUAGUUGGUGAGGUAACGGCUCACCAAGGCAAAGAUCAGUAUCCGGCCUGAGAGGGCGCACGGACACACUGGAACUGAAACACGGUCCAGACUCCUACGGGAGGCAGCAGUGGGGAAUUUUGCGCAAUGGGCGAAAGCCUGACGCAGCGACGCCGCGUGAGGGAAGAAGGCCUUCGGGUUGUAAACCUCUUUCAGGAGGGACGAAGCCACUCGGGUUAAUAGCCUAGAGGGUGACGGUACCUCCAGAAGAAGCCCCGGCUAACUACGUGCCAGCAGCCGCGGUAAUACGUAGGGGGCAAGCGUUGUCCGGAUUUAUUGGGCGUAAAGAGCGUGUAGGCGGCCAUACAGGUCAGCUGUGAAAACUCGAGGCUCAACCUCGAGACGUCGGUUGAAACCGUAUGGCUAGAGUCCGGAAGAGGAGAGUGGAAUUCCCGGUGUAGCGGUGAAAUGCGCAGAUAUCGGGAAGAACACCCGUGGCGAAGGCGGCUCUCUGGGACGGUACUGACGCUGAGACGCGAAAGCGUGGGGAGCGAACAGGAUUAGAUACCCUGGUAGUCCACGCCGUAAACGAUGGGUACUAGGUGUGGCGGGUGUCGACUCCCGCUGUGCCGAAGCUAACGCAUUAAGUACCCCGCCUGGGGAGUACGGCCGCAAGGCUAAGACUCAAAGGAAUUGACGGGGGCCCGCACAAGCAGCGGAGCAUGUUGUUUAAUUUCGACGCAACGCGAAGAACCUUACCAGGGCUUGACAUGCACUGGAAAACCGUAGAAAUACGGUCCCCCUUCGGGGCCAGUGUGCAAGGUGGUGCAUGGGCUGUCGUCAGCUCGUGUCGUGAGAUGUUGGGUUAAGUCCCGCAACGAGCGCAACCCUGUCCAUGUUGCCAGCGUGUUAAUGACGGGGACUCAUGGGAUACUGCGGGUGACAAAAUCGAGGAAAGUUGGGGUUCGAAUUCAGGUCCAUCAUG